rnacentral:miRNA from 1 species
CCUUCUGGUUUGCUUGGGACUGAGAGGUUUCCUGGGAUGUGGGAUUUGCAGUGCUAAGACCAGGAAAGU